rnacentral:misc_RNA from 1 species
UUUCUCUCACUGGAAACAGGGAAGCGUCCGUAGAUCCGAACGUUAUAUGGGACCGAGUAGCACUCAACGACGGCUUCACCAUGCCCCCCAAUAGGGGGAGGCAACCUGUGGUUCAGGGUCGGAUUGAGCCUGGCUUAUCCAGUGAGGAGUUUUCAGCACAACUAAGUGAAUCACUGGCUUCACGUGAUGUGAGUCGAGAGAAGGCCCCUCGUAUAAACCUCGAGUAUCAUCAACGAGAUGUUUUCAGAAAUUCG